rnacentral:misc_RNA from 1 species
UCCGAGUUGACCCCGGCAGUCUCUAAUGAGUCCCCACCAUUACGUGCUGGCAACAUUAGACGAGGGUUGCGCUCGUUGCGGGACUUAACCCAACAUCUCACGACACGAGCUGACGACAACCAUGCACCACCUGUAUAGGGCCCUUGCGGACCUCAUAUCUCUAUGAGAUUUCCCUAUAUGUCAAGCCUUGGUAAGGUUCUUCGCGUUGCGUCGAAUUAAGCCGCAUGCUCCGCCGCUUGUGCGGGCCCCCGUCAAUUCCUUUGAGUUUUAGCCUUGCGGCCGUACUCCCCAGGCGGGGCGCUUAAUGCGUUAGCUGCGGCACGGAGAACGUGGAAUGUUCCCCACACCUAGCGCCCAACGUUUACGGCGUGGACUAC